UGUUCUGUGGCUUAGUUGGUUAAAGCACCGGUCUAGCGAAUACGGGGUCGUGGGUUCAAAUCCCACCAGAACAC
rfam:Aedes albopictus isolate Foshan contig111639, whole genome shotgun sequence.